rnacentral:rRNA from 1 species
ACGAACGCUGGCGGCGUGCUUCACACAUGCAAGUCGAACGGAAAGGCCCUGCUUUUGUGGGGUGCUCGAGUGGCGAACGGGUGAGUAACACGUGAGUAACCUGCCCUUGACUUUGGGAUAACUUCAGGAAACUGGGGCUAAUACCGGAUAGGAGCUCCUGCUGCAUGGUGGGGGUUGGAAAGUUUCGGCGGUUGGGGAUGGACUCGCGGCUUAUCAGCUUGUUGGUGGGGUAGUGGCUUACCAAGGCUUUGACGGGUAGCCGGCCUGAGAGGGUGACCGGCCACAUUGGGACUGAGGUACGGCCCAGACUCCUACGGGGGGCAGCAGUGGGGAAUAUUGCACAAUGGGCGGAAGCCUGAUGCAGCAACGCCGCGUGCGGGAUGACGGCCUUCGGGUUGUAAACCGCUUUCGCCUGUGACGAAGCGGGAGUGACGGUAAUGGGUAAAGAAGCACCGGCUAACUACGUG